CAGCAGCCGCGGGAAUACAGAGGGUGCAAGCGUUAAUCGGAAUUACUGGGCGUAAAGCGUGCGUAGGCGGCUAAUUGAGUCGGAUGUGAAAUCCCCGAGCUUAACUUGGGAAUUGCAUUCGAUACUGGUUAGCUAGAGUGUGGGAGAGGAUGGUAGAAUUCCAGGUGUAGCGGUGAAAUGCGUAGAGAUCUGGAGGAAUACCGAUGGCGAAGGCAGCCAUCUGGCCUAACACUGACGCUGAGGUACGAAAGCAUGGGGAGCAAACAGGAUUAGAUACCCCCGUAGUCCCUGUCUCUUAUAC
rnacentral:rRNA from 1 species